GCCUCUGUAGCUUAGUAGCCAUAGCGGCGGUUUUGUAAACCGCAGGUCGAGGGUGCAACUCCCUCCGGAGGCU
rnacentral:tRNA from 1 species